GACGAACGCUGGCGGCGUGCUUAACACAUGCAAGUCGAACGAAGAGCGAUGGAAGCUUGCUUCUAUCAAUCUUAGUGGCGAACGGGUGAGUAACGCGUAAUCAACCUGCCCUUCAGAGGGGGACAACAGUUGGAAACGACUGCUAAUACCGCAUACGAUCCAAUCUCGGCAUCGGGACUGGAUGAAAGGUGGCCUCUAUUUAUAAGCUAUCACUGAAGGAGGGGAUUGCGUCUGAUUAGCUAGUUGGAGGGGUAACGGCCCUCCAAGGCGAUGAUCAGUAGCCGGUCUGGGAGGAUGGACGGCCACAUUGGGACUGGGACCCGGCCCCGACUCCUACGGGAGGCAGCCGUGGGGAAUCUUCCGCCAUGGAGGGAAGUCUGACGGAGCAACGCCGCGUGGGUGAUGACGGCCUUCGGGUUGUAAAGCUCUGUUAAUCGGGACGAAUGGUUCUUGUGCGAAUAGUGCGAGGAUUUGACGGUACCGGAAUAGAAAGCCACGGCUAACUACGUG
rnacentral:rRNA from 1 species